CUGAGUUGGCUGACACUGGCUUCCUUCCAGAGCGCAGGGGUGCAUCCUUCCGAACCUCGCAUUCAGUGACGUCACCUUGGUGAUUUGAAGUAGGCCCUGGUGGAAGUAUUUACACCAUGGACAUCAGCAAAUGCAACCAAGACCUCCCGCUACCCUGGAGAGCUGGGUUUAAGACAUUUGCCAGCACACCACUGCCCAGGGACCAGUCUCAGCUCCAGAGCUGUGGGUUAUUGGUAAAGGAUGUGAUUUCAUUGAGCCUCAGUUUCUGUAUCUGUAAAGCAGGAAUCUAUCACUUAUGAAAUAUCCUGUGCAGGCACAAUCUUAGGUGUGGAGGAUACAAUACAACAAUUGGGACAUUGGCUUUUUCCUGCCUCUACACUACAACUACACCAUCAAGCCUUCAGACAUGGAAAGGAACCACACUAUUGGCUCUCCUCGGUCUUCAGCUUGCCAACUCAAUGCAGAUCUUUGCAUUUGUCAGCCUUAUAACCAUGUGAGCUAAUUCCCUAAAAUAAAUGUCCUCA
rnacentral:lncRNA from 10 species